CCUGCCCGCUGCCCUUUGUCUUCCCUCCUGCUCCCCUCGUGCGCCCCGGGAGGCUGGGAGGCGCCUCUCGCAGGCUUCCUCCUCCCUUUCUUGUGCUAAUUGGGUGUCAAGCUGAGAUCAGUGAGAAAGAAAUCCUCCCCGGCUCGGGUUAAACUGCCGCCAAAGACCCGGGCUGAGCCCAGAAUAUCAUUAGGAGGGGAGGAAACAGGGCCCCCUCCUCGGGGGGGAGGGGCCAGCCGCUCAUUCAGGCCCCUUUGAAAGUCACUCGGUCGCCCCCUCCCUCACCGCCGUCGCUUCAAUGGGCCCCUCGGAGGUAUUUAACCUUCUUCCCAGGAAUUGAAAGCGAUACGCCAAGCACUAGCCUGGGCGGCCACUUGCCUGUCCCGAGGGCGGUAGGACCUCCCGGGAGGCUCGAGGCAGGCCCCUCGCAGCCUCCCUGGCGCAGGUUGCGGAUGGCAACACCGAGGCUCCUGGAGAGACUCUGCGUCUCCGAGCCUCGGAUUCCUCACCUGUGCAACGGAGGUCAAAAUAGCAGCUACUUUGUGUUAUGAGGUUAAUGAAACAAUGCACGUGAAACGCCCCGCGCAGCGCCUGGCACGCAGGAAGUGCCCCCACGGCCCGCACGGCUCUCCCUUUUCAGAUUCAGCUUCAACUCUACAAGCACCCCCACCCGCGUCGACCCCUCCCCCACCCACCCCCAGCCUCACUGCACUUCUGCAACCUGCCGGGCUGGCGGUUCACCCCCAGGCCUUUACACUUUGCUGCUCCUUCGUGCUGGGACACUCUUCCCCUGGGGUUAUCGGAGCUCUUCUUU